GAGACAGCUUCAGCAACUGAGUCCAUCAUUACAGAGUUCAGUGGACCUGCAGGCCUUGACAUUGAUGGAAUCCACCUGUUCAAAUCAGCACAGGCAGUGGAUUCUCACUGGGCAACUCCAAGCAAGCAUCUUUGUUGUAUGCAGGUGGGUAAACAUUUUUGAACUAAUCAUUGUAAAAUCAUACAAACUCAAACUCACAGACACCAUAAUAAAUAAGCAAUGUAUGUUUUAUAGGACCCCCCUGGCAUACGGCUGUAUGUGUCAGUGAAGGUUGUGAUGCUGAAUGGUGUCCGCCUGAACAAGUACAGGUGUCGGCGAGGCAGUAACUCCUUGGAGGGCUUGCACUCACACCUGUACAAGGCCAUUCCCUCACAGAGAUGUGGAGUUAUGCCAUUCCAAGUGUAUCUGAUUGCGUUUGCUGUGCAGUGGAACAGCUGCAUGGAAUCACUCAGGGUUGCUGGUGGUCAUGGCAGGCAGACGUGGUGUAUGGACCCGUGGCAGAUUCAGCACCUGAAUCAGCAGGCUGAGGUGCUCUUCGGUAAAGAGCAUGUCCUCGAGCCCAACUUUGCCGCUCCAAUGCCCUACCCUGCUGUAUACAAGGACCCAGACGAGGAGGAGCUCCUUGGAGUAGAGUAUGCCAUGUGCCAGUCAACCAGCUUCACUGCAAAGGAUUACUAUGCCCAGCAAGUUGAGGAAGAGCAGUCCCGUGAAGAAGAGGAGAUGGCUGAACAAAGUGAGGACAAGCUGGCAGAUGAGGGUGUGGACAUGGGUGCAGAGUCAGAGGAGGAUCCUAUGGACACUGUCAGUGACAAACAUGUCAUCCUCACUCAAUCAGAACAGGUGGAGGAGGAGGACAGUCCUGCUCUGCAGGAUGUGCUGAUGACCCAGAGCCAUCUGCAUCUUCCUGGGCUCGAGGAAGUGGAAGCCUUGGCCCUGCUCAUUUUAGAAUUGGCAGACAACAGUGACCGUCACCUAGUGCCAGCUGACCUACAGUCGUGGCCAAAAGUUUUGAGAAUUACAUAAAUAUUAGUUUUCAAAAAGUUUGCUGCUAAACUGCUUUUAGAUCUUUGUUUCAGUUGUUUCUGUGAUGUACUGAAAUAUAAUUACAAGCACUUCAUACGUUUCAAAGGCUUUUAUCGACAAUUACAUGACACUUAUGCAAAGAGUCAGUAUUUGCAGUGUUGGCCCUUCUUUUUCAGGACCUCUGCAAUUCGACUGGGCAUGCUCUCAAUCAACUUCUGGGCCAAAUCCUGACUGAUAGCAACCCAUUCUUUCAUAAUAACUUCUUGGAGUUUGUCAGAAUUAGUGGGUUUUUGUUUGUCCACCCGCGUCUUGAGGAUUGACCACAAGUUCUCAAUGGGAUUAAGAUCUGGGGAGUUUCCAGGCCAUGGACCCAAAAUUUCAACAUUCUGGUCCCCGAGCCACUUAGUUAUCACUUUUGCCUUAUGACACGGCGCUCCAUCAUGCUGGAAAAUGCAUUGUUCUUCACCAAACAGUUGUUGGGUUGUUGGAAGAAGUUGCUAUUGGAGGGUGUUUGUGAGUUGAGCCCAUCCCCUUGGAUGAGAAGCAACCCCACACAUGAAUGGUGUCAGGAUGCUUUACUGUUGGCAUGACACAGGACUGAUGGUAGCGCUCACCUUUUCUUCUCCGGACAAGCCUUUUUCCAGAUGCCCCAAACAAUCGGAAAGGGGCUUCAUCUGAGAAUAUGACUUUGCCCCAGUCCUCAGCAGUCCAUUCACUAUACUUUCUGACGAAGAUCAAUCUGUCCCUGAUGUUUUUUUUGGAGAGAAGUGGCUUCUUUGCUGCCCUUCUUGACACCAGGCCAUCUUCCAAAAGUCUUCGCCUCACUGUGCGUGCAGAUGCGCUCACACCUGCCUGCUGCCAUUCCUGAGCAAGCUCUGCACUGGUGGCACUCCAAUCCCCCAGCUGAAUCCUCUUUAGGAGACGAUCCUGGCGCUUGCUGGACUUUCUUGGAUGCCCUGAAGCCUUCUUUACAAGAAUUGAACCUCUUUCCUUGUUGGGAUUAAGUUCAUUUUCAUGGCAAAGAAGGACUAUGCAAUUCAUCUGAUCACUCUUCAUAACAUUCUGGAGUAUAUGCAAAUUGCUAUUAUAAAAACUUAAGCAGCAACUUUUCCAAUUUCCAAUAUGUAUGUAAUUCUCAAAACUUUUGGCCACGACUGUACAGUAUAUCGAAGUAUGACCCAAGAAAAAAAAAAAACUUGCUGAACUGCCACGAAAUGCUACACUCAUGUCCCAUCACAUUCAGGACAAGCUGCUUGAGGCUGCCGCUUCACUUCUACUCAGGAAGAUAAAAACGGAGAUGCAAGAACAGCCCACAUUAUUUUGCCAUUCUUGCAGAUGAGUUUAAAGACAAGAAGGACUAUGCAAUUCAUCUGAUCACUCUUCAUAACAUUACUGGAGUAUAUGCAAAUUGCUAUUAUAAAAACUUAAGACAGCAACUUUUCCAAUUUCCAAUAUGUAUGUAAUUCUCAAAACUUUUGGCCACGACUGUACAGUAUAUCGAAGUAUGACCCAGAAAAAAAAAAAAAAAACUUAGCUGAACUGCCACGAAAUGCUACACUCAUGUCCCAUCACAUUCAGGACAAGCUGCUUGAGGCUGCCGCUUCACUUCUACUCAGGAAGAUAAAAACGGAGAUGCAAGAACAGCCCACAUAUUUUGCCAUUCUUGCAGAUGAGUUUAAAGAUGUUUCGAAACACAAGCUAGUUGCUGUCUGUGUUCGAUUUUUCCAUAGUGGGACAAUCAAAGAACAAGCACUGGGCUUUGCCAAAACAUUGAGGCUGCCGCUUCACUUCUACUCAGGAAGAUAAAAACGGAGAUGCAAGAACAGCCCACAUAUUUUGCCAUUCUUGCAGAUGAGUUUAAAGAUGUUUCGAAACACAAGCUAGUUGCUGUCUGUGUUCGAUUUUUCCAUAGUGGGACAAUCAAAGAACAAGCACUGGGCUUUGCCAAAACAGCUGACCUGUCUGCUCAAGGAAUAUUGCAGAGGAUCCUUGAAAUUCUAGAACCACUUGGUUUGGACCCUUCUCUCUGUGUCGGGUUCUGUUUUGAUGGGGCAUCGGUCAUGUCUGGCCACAGAGGAGGUGUUCAAUCUAUCUUGAAAGAGACAUUUGCCAAAGCUGUGUAUGUACACUGUAAUUCUCACAGACUGAAUUUAGUGCUUUGUGCUGCUGCAGAAUCAUCUGGACACGUCAGUACUUUUUUCACUGUCAUCAAUCAGAUACACAACUUCUUCACUGGGGCCCAGAGGCACACUCAGUUUGUGGAACUUCAGAAGGAAAUGCAUCCAGAACGCCCAUGCAAGGAACUGGAAAGGUCAUGUGACACCAGGUGGAGCUCUAAAUCAGGAUCUGUUCAUAAAGUUUUAGAAAUGCUAGACAUAUUACUUGAGACUCUUGCUGAGUAUUCUGAGACAAGCGGACAGACAAAACUAGAUGCAGAUAACCUAUUACAACAGAUGCAAACAAAAAAACUUGUUGUGUUUUGCAAGUUGUUUCAGUGCAGCGAUUUUUCCACAAAGGGGCUGCAAUCUGUGUGACAGACUGCAUCUCCUUAAGCCACCCUUGCCACUUUUCGAGAUGAUUCAGAUGGUGAUUUGGACAAAGUUCUCAGAUUGACGGAGGAGUUGAUGGAUAAAUAUGAGAUAGCAUGGUGGGAUCUGAUAAUGUCUCGUGAGUGAAAGCUGCCUGCAAAGUUUAGUCAGUCUAUUGUCACCACAACAUUGGGAAAAACAUCCGCUAUCAAGAAUAAUGGUGAUCUGAGAGCACUCUGGAACUGUAUUCUGGAUAACGAGAUGGCUGAAUUGAACAGCCGAUUUAAAGACGACACCUACGGAAUAAUGCGAGCUUCAGCUGCCCUCAUCCCAGGAUCCACCACUUUUGGCACACAAGAACUGAUAAAAUCUCCUUGCAGCUUGUAUGGGAUAACAGUCUGUAAAGCGGAAUUUGCCUUUUUUACCCAAUUCAUCAAGGGCAAAGCUGACAAGACAAAAUGCCCUCACUAAUUGAAUUGUGGGAUGCCUGCGCUGCUGAUAUUUUUCCCGGAAUGACACUACCCAUGACGUCCUGCAGUGUUGAAAGGCUUUUCUCCGCUACUCACAGGAUCAACACUCACUUGAGAGCAUCAAUGGUGACUGAACGCUUGAACAAUUUGACCCUGUUAUCUUUCGAAAGAGAACUGAUAGAAACACUAGAUUAUGUCAAGAUCAUAAGCAUCUUUAAUUCAAAAGCCAGGCGACUCUGCCUUGUGUAGCCGGGUAAGGAAUAGGCCAUGGUUUUCUUUACAUGUAGGCCAUGGCCUGAUAGCAGGAUGUGACUAUAAGUACUUUAAGCCUCUGAGCUCAAAUAAUGUUACUUUUUUAGAAAGCUAAACAUGUAUGUGGGGGUUGACCUCAGCCUCUUGUUCAGGGCCUAAAUAUUCGUUCAGUUAACAUGUCAUUACUUUAAAUGUUCACUGAAUAGAGUGUUAUGUUGUGGGUUUUUUUGUUAUUUUGUUAGAGCUACGUGCUCUCUAAUUGAUCUUCCCUAUGCACUAUCACAAUGUUGCCUUUUUGUGAAUGAUUAUGUUACUGGCUCGGUAGCCAUAGCCUAUGUUAUAUAGGCUUAUGUAUUUAGCUCAGUUUUUGACAGUAGAUGAAAUGUAAACUACAAAAUAAGUAGGCUAAUAAACAAUUUUUUUACCAUUAUAAAGCAGUUUGAAUGUUUCAU
rnacentral:lncRNA from 1 species